rnacentral:sRNA from 1 species
GGAAGUAAAAGUCGUAACAAGGUUUCCGUAGGUGAACCUGCGGAAGGAUCAUUACCGAGUGAGGGCCCUCUGGGUCCAACCUCCCACCCGUGUUUAUUUACCUUAUUGCUUCGGCGGGCCCGCCUUCACUGGCCGCCGGGGGGCUCACGCCCCCGGGCCCGCGCCCGCCGAAGACACCCCGAACUCUGUCUGAAGAAUGAAGUCUGAGUGAAAAUAUAAAUUAUUUAAAACUUUCAACAACGGAUCUCUUGGUUCCGGCAUCGAUGAAGAACGCAGCGAAAUGCGAUACGUAAUGUGAAUUGCAAAUUCAGUGAAUCAUCGAGUCUUUGAACGCACAUUGCGCCCCCUGGUAUUCCGGGGGGCAUGCCUGUCCGAGCGUCAUUGCUGCCCUCAAGCCCGGCUUGUGUGUUGGGCCUCGUCCUCCGAUUCCGGGGGACGGGCCCGAAAGGCAGCGGCGGCACCGCGUCCGGUCCUCGAGCGUAUGGGGCUCUGUCACCCGCUCUGUAGGCCCGGCCGGCGCUUGCCGAUCAACCCAAAUUUUUAUCCAGGUUGACCUCGGAUCAGGUAGGGAUACCCGCUGAACUUAAGCAUAUCAAUAAGCGGAGGA